UUUAUAUGAGAGUUUGAUCCUGGCUCAGGAUGAACGCCGGCGGUGUGCCUAAUACAUGCAAGUCGUACGCACUGGCCCAACUGAUUGAUGGUGCUUGCACCUGAUUGAUGAUGGAUCACCAGUGAGUGGCGAACGGGUGAGUAACACGUAGGUAACCUGCCCCGGAGCGGGGGAUAACAUUUGGAAACAGAUGCUAAUACCGCAUAACAACAAAAGCCACAUGGCUUUUGUUUGAAAGAUGGCUUUGGCUAUCACUCUGGGAUGGACCUGCGGUGCAUUAGCUAGUUGGUAAGGUAACGGCUUACCAAGGCGAUGAUGCAUAGCCGAGUUGAGAGACUGAUUGGCCACAAUGGAACUGAGACACGGUCCAUACUCCUACGGGAGGCAGCAGUAGGGAAUCUUCCACAAUGGGCGCAAGCCUGAUGGAGCAACACCGCGUGAGUGAAGAAGGGUUUCGGCUCGUAAAGCUCUGUUGUUGGAGAAGAACGUGCGUGAGAGUAACUGUUCAUGCAGUGACGGUAUCCAACCAGAAAGUCACGGCUAACUACGUGCCAGCAGCCGCGGUAAUACGUAGGUGGCAAGCGUUAUCCGGAUUUAUUGGGCGUAAAGCGAGCGCAGGCGGUUGCUUAGGUCUGAUGUGAAAGCC
rnacentral:rRNA from 2 species